CUUAUUAGAUAGUCCAGGUCAGAAUCUGGUUUUAUAACAUCAAUGGGAUCAGCCUGCGGACACAAUGAAUCCUCAUUAAGAGCGAGUUCUCUUUUAAUUUAGCAAAUGUUUCUUCUCCUGGGCUUCCCAGUACUACCUAGCUUUUUUUUUUCUUGAAACAUCUUGUUAGCUUUUGAAUAAAACUGGAAGGACAAUCUACUACGCACAUGGUAUUUUUCUUUAAGGUGAGAACAUGGAAGUGUCAGGAGCUGAGGUUGCAGCCUAGGUUUUCGAGUCGUCUCAUGGACGCACCCCCGUAGCUGCUCCUUCUUGACACCCUGCCAGCCUCUUCCUACCCCACUGUCAUUGGUACCUGAUGAUGUCCUUGAAAAACUUGCUGUUUAGAAUGUAUUUUGCAUAGCAUGGAAAUGAUCAAGAAAGGAAGCGCAGACUUUUAAAAAAAAUAUGUCACCCGUCCUUUAUUAUCUUUUUUUUUCCCCCUGGAGGUCAAGCUCUUCAUUUUGAUACUUAAUGAAUAAAAUGCCUGCGUUGCAAGAAAUGGGAUAAUGAAUUGUAAAAAGACAUAAUCAGCAAUGACUAAAUAAUUAAGGGAAUUGAAAUGCAGAGUCAUCUGGGAAUGCAUUCAUAAUAACACGAUUUGUUCCAUAUGCUAAAAAAUUCUGUUUUUAGAAAAAUCAGUCAUCACACAUGCCCCGUGACAAAAAGGGAAAAAAAAAUUAAUGUUGACUAAUAGGAACUGUAAUUAGAUGUUCUGCUUUUAAACAGCUGAAUAAAAGAUGAAAUCUUAUAGAAAGUAUAUUUAGAUCCAAGUCAAAAAGUAAACUGAUUAUUAUUCAUAGGGCUGUUAAUAGGAACCGCAGUUUAUGCACCUCCUGGGAACUGGUUUUGGCAAUUAAGGAAAGGAGUCACGCUCAGCUUCCCAUUAUCAUUUACUUCUGCGUGUUUUCCUCUGUGGUAUCAGGGACUGGCGUUUUCCUUACGUUUCACCAACUUAGCCAUCACAUGCGCGUGCAGCAAGCAUCUGGGGACUCUGGGGCUGGGAUGUUCUUACCUUGACAGGAUACAACAUGGGCUGCUCAGCAGCUGGGUCCCGCGUGCCUCUGUGGAGUGUGGCCAGCAGGUGCUCCUGACCUCGGCCUCUGUGAGUUUCUGCCUUCACAGGUGGUUGGAAGGAAAACAGCAAUGUCUCACUUCAAAAGGAAGGAUUUCCCUGUUGAGGUCACCACCAGCAGCUUCUCAGGUGCCUGUUUUUAGGACGGAAAGGAAAACAUGGAGGGAAGAGAAGGGGAGAUUGACGGCCCCCAACUAAAGUGCUGACCACUCCGAUGUCCAACCCUCAUCAGGAUUGGCCACAGCCAGCUCAUAGUCAUCAGGGUAUCUCUUUGGGUUGGGGAUAAGAAUCCUCCUUCCUUCCCUCCGUCCUCCCUUCCUCUCUUCUCUCUCUCUCUCUCUCUCUCUCUCUCCCCCCCUCCCUCCCUCUCCCACACACACACAU
rnacentral:lncRNA from 1 species